GACGAACGUUGGCGGCGUGCUUAAUACAUGCAAGUCCACUGAAGCAGUGGUAGCAAUAUCGCUGUGGAGGUGGCGCACGGGUGAGUAACACGUAGGUAAUCUGCCUUCAGGUCUGGCAUAACUCCGGGAAACCGGGGCUAAUAGCAGAUGAUGCAGCGGCUCGACAUCGAGACAGUUGUUAAAGCUAUGGCGCCUGAAGAUGAGCCUGCGCCUGAUUAGCUAGUUGGCGGGGUAACGGCCCACCAAGGCAACGAUCAGUAGCUGGUCUGAGAGGAUGAUCAGCCACACUGGAACUGAGACACGGUCCAGACUCCUACGGGAGGCAGCAGUAAGGAAUAUUGCUCAAUGGGAGAAAUCCUGAAGCAGCAACGCCGCGUGAGGGACGAAGGGCUUUUGCUUGUAAACCUCUGUAGUGAGAGAAAAAAAUCCCAAUCUUUGGGACAUGAUGGUAGCUCAAAAGUAAGCCCCGGCUAACUACGUG
rnacentral:rRNA from 1 species